rnacentral:tRNA from 1 species
UGGGUAAUAGCUCAGGGAUACAGCACAUGCUUAGCAGGCAUGAGUUCCUGGGUUCAAUCCCCAGUCCCUCCA